UCUUUAUUAAUAUAUAUAGUAUAUUUAAUUUCCAAUUAAAAAGAUUGAUUAUCAAAUAAAGAA
rnacentral:tRNA from 1 species